AUUGAACGCUGGCGGCAGGCCUAACACAUGCAAGUCGAGCGGCCGUAGCAAUACGGCAGCGGCAGACGGGAGAGUAACACGUGGGAACGCGCCCUUCGGUUCGGGAUAACCCAGGGAAACUUGGGCUAAUACCGGAUACGCCCUUACGGGGAAAGAUUCAUUGCCGAAGGAACGGCCCGCGUCCGAUUAGCUAGUUGGUGAGGUAAUGGCUCACCAAGGCGACGAUCGGUAGCUGGUCUGAGAGGAUGACCAGCCUCACUGGGACUGAGACACGGCCCAGACUCCUACGGGAGGCAGCAGUGGGGAAUAUUGGACAAUGGGCGCAAGCUUGAUCCAGCCAUGCCGCGUGGGUGAUGAAGGCCCUAGGGUUGUAAAGCCCUUUCAGUGGGGAAGAUAAUGACGGUACCCGCGGAAGAAGCCCCGGCUAACUUCGUGCCAGCCGCCGCAGUAA
rnacentral:rRNA from 1 species